AACGAACGCUGGCGGCAUGCCUAACACAUGCAAGUCGAACGAUGCCUUCGGGCCUAGUGGCGCACGGGUGCGUAACGCGUGGGAAUCUGCCUUUCGGUUCGGAAUAACUCAGGGAAACUUGAGCUAAUACCGGAUAACGUCGCAAGACCAAAGAUUUAUCACCGAAAGAUGAGCCCGCGUAGGAUUAGCUAGUUGGUGAGGUAAAGGCUCACCAAGGCGACGAUCCUUAGCUGGUCUGAGAGGAUGAUCAGCCACACUGGGACUGAGACACGGCCCAGACUCCUACGGGAGGCAGCAGUGGGGAAUAUUGGACAAUGGGCGAAAGCCUGAUCCAGCAAUGCCGCGUGAGUGAUGAAGGCCUUAGGGUUGUAAAGCUCUUUUACCCGGGAAGAUAAUGACGGUACCGGGAGAAUAAGCCCCGGCUAACUCCGUG
rnacentral:rRNA from 1 species